GGCCUGGUGGUGUAACGGUAACAUCCCUGCUUGCAUUACUAUCUCAUCACAGUUGCAGCAGGAGUUCCUUGUUCGACUCAAGGUCAGGUCU